AUCCACAAUGUAGUCUUUGAAGAAUUUUUGUUUAGGGGAUAUUUCUCUCAAUAAGUUUUAGAUUUUUCAAAUUUUUAAUAUGUAGGUCGUUUGGCCAGACCAUAUCAAUAAUAUAGAUUUUUAGUAUUGUUUUAUGUGUCUUCUGAAUUGUCACCAUGAUGGUUUGCAACUAAUAGCUUCCGCAUGACGCCCUUUUAAUUUUGAAUCCAACAAGUGGUAUCAGAGCCAUGGUUCAAUGGUUCGAUGGUUCAAAUUGAGGACAUGUUGAGAUCAAAGUUGCAAAGAAUUUGAUGAUAAUAAAGAUAUAUGUCCAAAAGCUACAUAUGAAGAUAAUUGUCAAUCAUAUUUCAAUAAUCCUGCUGUUACAUAUUUGAAAAGAAAGCUUACUUUUAACCCUAUAAAGGGCUCCAAUGUUUUUAAUCUGAAAGGGCUUAUAUAUUUUUAACCCAAAAAGCUUCAACUUUUAAAGCAUGUCAAACAACAGUGAUAUAUGAAGAAUUUGUGAAGAACGAAGAUUGUGCACAAGAAGAAGGAGCAUCAAGAAUAUUUUGCAGAAAAUCAAGCCAAAAAGGGGAGAUUUGUUAGGGUUUUUGUCCUGAUUUUCUUACCAAAAUUAAGUUUUACUUUUUGUUGAAAAAAAAAUAAAAGUACCCAUAAAUACUUUUACUUUUUUCCUAAAAGAAAAAAAAUAUAAAAUUUUUCCACAUUUGACAAACCUUUUUCUUGGAGGAAAGGUUUGCGACAUCUAUAAAUAGAAGACCCCCUUCUCAUACCAUAACAUAGUAGCAUCCACAAUGUAGUCUUUGAAGAAUUUUAGUUUAGGGGGAUUUCUCCUAAUAGGUUUUUGGUUUUUCAAUUUUAUUUUUAAUAUGUAGGUCAUUUGGCCAAAUCAUAUCAAUAAUAUAGCUUUUUAGUAUUG
rnacentral:lncRNA from 1 species